rnacentral:rRNA from 1 species
GAUGAACGCUGGCGGCGUGCUUAACACAUGCAAGUCGAACGGAAAGGCCCAAGCUUGCUUGGGUACUCGAGUGGCGAACGGGUGAGUAACACGUGGGUGAUCUGCCCUGCACUUCGGGAUAAGCCUGGGAAACUGGGUCUAAUACCGGAUAGGACGAUGGUUUGGAUGCCAUUGUGGAAAGUUUUUUCGGUGUGGGAUGAGCUCGCGGCCUAUCAGCUUGUUGGUGGGGUAAUGGCCUACCAAGGCGUCGACGGGUAGCCGGCCUGAGAGGGUGUACGGCCACAUUGGGACUAAGAGACGGCCCAGACUCCUACGGGAGGCAGCAGUGGGGAAUAUUGCACAAUGGGCGCAAGCCUGAUGCAGCGACGCCGCGUGGGGGAUGACGGCCUUCGGGUUGUAAACUCCUGUCGCUAGGGACGAAGCGUUUUUGUGACGGUACCUGGAGAAGAAGCACCGGCUAACUACGUG